rnacentral:tRNA from 1 species
AUUUAAAUAGCUUAAAAUUGAGAGUAUAAUAUUGAAGAUAUUAGGGUGAUUUAUUAAUCUUUAAAUA